rnacentral:tRNA from 1 species
GGGGGUAUAGCUCAGCUGGGAGAGCAGCAGACUGAAGUUGAUCGAUUUCUGAAGGUCCCGCGUUCGAUCCGCGGUACCCCCA